AGCAGCCGCGGUAAUUCCAGCUCCAAUAGCGUAUAUUAAAGUUGCUGCAGUUAAAAAGCUCGUAGUUGAAUUUCGGGACUAAUAUGUCGGUCGUGCCUCGGUACGUACUGGCUUAUUGGUUUCUCCUUUCUGAAGAACCAUGAUGUCAUUUAUUUGGUGUCGUGGGGAAUCAGGACUGUUACUUUGAAAAAAUUAGAGUGUUUAAAGCAGGCUUACGCUUGAAUACAUUAGCAUGGAAUAAUGAAAUAGGACGUUUGAUUCUAUUUUGUUGGUUUCUAGGAUCGACGUAAUGAUUAAUAGGGAUAGUUGGGGGCAUUAGUAUUCAAUUGUCAGAGGUGAAAUUCUUGGAUUUAUUGAAGACUAACUACUGCGAAAGCAUUUGCCAAGGAUGUUUUCAUUAAUCAAGAACGAAAGUUAGGGGAUCGAAGACGAUCAGAUACCGUCGUAGUCUUAACCAUAAACUAUGCCGACUAGGGAUCGGAUGAUGUUAAUUUUUUAAUGACUCAUUCGGCGCCUUACG
rnacentral:rRNA from 1 species